GAUGAAGAACGUAGCGAAGUGCGAUAAGUAAUGUGAAUUGCAGAAUUCCGUGAAUCAUCGAAUCUUUGAACGCAAAUUGCACUCUUUGGUAUUCCGAAGAGUAUGCCUGUUUGAGGGUCAGUUAAAUAAAAUCGGUGUUGUUGCUGCCUUUCGUGGUAACGCUUCGGAUUUGGGUCGUCUUACCUUCGGUUAAGUGACCUAAAAUUUAGCAUGAUUUUUCGAACGUAUUUAAAUUAUUUAUGUACGUUUGUGAUAUCGAAUAUAUUAGAUGUGGUCAUUGUCAUGAUUUGCGUCUAUAAUUUUUUGUAAAAUGACCUCAAAUCAGGUAAGAGUACCCGCUGAACUUAAGCAUAUCAAUAAGCGGAGGA
rnacentral:misc_RNA from 1 species